UACGGAGGGGGCUAGCGUUGUUCGGAAUUACUGGGCGUAAAGGGCACGUAGGCGGCUUUGUAAGUUAGAGGUGAAAGCCCGGGGCUCAACCCCGGAAUUGCCUUUAAGACUGCAUCGCUUGAACGUCGGAGAGGUGAGUGGAAUUCCGAGUGUAGAGGUGAAAUUCGUAGAUAUUCGGAAGAACACCAGUGGCGAAGGCGGCUCACUGGACGACUGUUGACGCUGAGGUGCGAAAGCGUGGGGAGCAAACAGG
rnacentral:rRNA from 1 species